UACGUAGGGGGCGAGCGUUGUCCGGAAUCAUUGGGCGUAAAGAGCGCGUAGGCGGCCCGACAAGUCCGCUGUGAAAGUCAGGGGCUCAACCCUUGAAUGCCGGUGGAUACUGUCGGGCUAGAGUCCGGAAGAGGCGAGUGGAAUUCCAGGUGUAGCGGUGAAAUGCGUAGAUAUCUGGAGGAACACCGGUGGCGAAGGCGGCAUCCUGGACCGGCAUUGACGCUGAAUAGCGAAAGCCAGGGGAGCAAACGGG
rnacentral:rRNA from 1 species